AGUCACACAGUCAAACAGCUUUGGCUGAGCGAGUCCGCAGAGAUACACAUGGGCUUGGUUAAUAUAGACUCGCAUGACGUGAUAGCAUCAAGGUCGAUGAAGCAAAUUCUCAGUACACUGUCUUCAGCCCCUGCUCAACCUGGUACAAAGUUUCUGAAGAAUGUUAACAGCGAUGUGAUAAGAAAGAAGAGCUCAUUACUAAAUAUUUUCUGGGUACAGGUUGUUCUCCUUCCUCAGUGAAUCAUAAGUCAAGGUUUUUAAUAAUACAAAGUAUAAAUCACAGAGUGAUAAA